UACGGAGGAUGCGAGCGUUAUCCGGAUUUAUUGGGUUUAAAGGGUGCGCAGGCGGCCUGUUAAGUCAGCGGUAAAAGCCCGGGGCUCAACCCCGGCGAGCCGUUGAAACUGGCGGGCUGGAGUUGGAGAGAAGUACGCGGAAUGCGCGGUGUAGCGGUGAAAUGCUUAGAUAUCGCGCAGAACCCCGAUUGCGAAGGCAGCGUACCGGCUCCACACUGACGCUGAGGCACGAAAGCGUGGGUAUCGAACAGG
rnacentral:ncRNA from 2 species